rnacentral:lncRNA from 1 species
UUCAGUGUAGCGGAGAGAGCGGAGUGAGAGAGAGAGAGAGUGAGAGAAGCAGCGAAAAAUGGCCGCCUCAUCUCCUCCCUCUCUCUUCUUCUUCGUCAUUAUAUUAUUAUCAACAACGCUGCUGCUGCUGCUGCUUCUGCCCUGGCCGGCGGCGGCGGUGAACGUGACGGCGCUGCUGGCGGAGCACCCGGAGCUGUCGGGGUUCAACCGGCUGCUGUCGUCGUCGUCGGUGGCGUCGGAGCUGGCGGGGCGGUCGUCGCUGACGCUGCUGGCGGUGCCGGACCCCUUCCUGGUGCGGUCGGAGGCGGAGCUGGCGGCGCGGUCGUCCGCCGACCUGGCCGACGUGCUCCGUUACCACGUGCUGCUGGAGUUCCUCUCCCCCUCCGACCUCCGCCGCCUCCCCGCCUCCGGCCGGCUCGUCACCACCCUCUUCCAGACCACCGGCCGCGCCCCCUCCGACCUCGGCGCCGUCAACCUCAC